GAGAAGCCCCUGACUGCAGCCCCGCAGACCUCAAUGUGGGCGGAGUUAAACGUUUAACCACGCCCCCUCAACAUUGUAGCGGUUGCCU